rnacentral:rRNA from 1 species
CCCUUAGAUGUUCUGGGCUGCACGCGCGCUACACUGCUGCAAUUAACGGGUUUUCUGUGCCGAAAGGCUUGGGGAAUCCUUUGAAUAUGCGGCGUGAUGGGGAUAGAAUAUUGUAAUUACAGUAUUACUCUUCAACGAGGAAUUCCUAGUAAGCGCGGGUCAGCAGCCCGCGCUGAUUACGUCCCUGCCCUUUGUACACACCGCCCGUCGCUCCUACCGAGUGGGUGAUCCGGUGAACUAUUCGGACUCCGGUUAUUCCAGCAUUUGGUUUUGCUGGGGAAAGUUUCGUGAACCUUAUCACUUGGAGGAAGGAGAAGUCGUAACA